rnacentral:rRNA from 1 species
AUUGAACGCUGGCGGCAUGCCUUACACAUGCAAGUCGAACGGUAACAGGUCUUCGGAUGCUGACGAGUGGCGAACGGGUGAGUAAUACAUCGGAACGUGCCUAGUAGUGGGGGAUAACUACUCGAAAGAGUGGCUAAUACCACAUGAGAUCUACGGAUGAAAGCAGGGGAUCGCAAGACCUUGUGCUACUAGAGCGGCCGAUGGCAGAUUAGGUAGUUGGUGGGGUAAAGGCUCACCAAGCCGACGAUCUGUAGCUGGUCUGAGAGGACGACCAGCCACACUGGGACUGAGACACGGCCCAGACUCCUACGGGAGGCAGCAGUGGGGAAUUUUGGACAAUGGGCGCAAGCCUGAUCCAGCCAUUCCGCGUGCAGGAUGAAGGCCUUCGGGUUGUAAACUGCUUUUGUACGGAACGAAAAGGCUCUGGUUAAUACCCGGGGCUCAUGACGGUACCGUAAGAAUAAGCACCGGCUAACUACGUGCCAGCCGCCGCAGUAA